rnacentral:tRNA from 1 species
GUGUACUUAGCUCAAUGGUUAGAGCAUCACUCAUGAAUUCUGGGUAUGUGAAUUUGACUCUCACAGUACACA